GGAAGGCGGCAGUAUGAACAGCGCAUACUAAACUCACACAUGUGCAUCUCUGGCCAUUGACGAGGAACGUGUAUUGUAGCUGUCGAGGUCACGUGACCGAAACGAGGGAACUCUGAGGACACCUUGAGCUCACCUGCCACAUUUCUUUCCUCUUCUCUCUCUCUCUCCAGGUUCAUCUGUGUUUCUCCCUCUUCCUCUGUGCUACACACUAAAGAACAGGAUCCUAAACGCAGAUCUCAUCAGGUGCUUGUCCCGCUGAGAGACUCCACAGCACCCUUAAGCCAGCACCAAUCGUCACUGAAGUACCACCACUUAGACAGGACUAAGGAGUGACCCCUUCCCUCUGGUUCAGAUGGCAGAUGGUCGGCAGCCCGAGGACAGCGGCCCCCAGUGGUCAUCUCCGGGAGCCCAGGGCUCAUCCUCCCCAGGUGGGCAUGGAGAGAACGGCUUCUCUUCUACCUACAGGACUUGCCAGCCUGGCGGUGCCCACGCUGGUUCUGCCGCCCCCUACACCAAAGAGAACGGCUUCAACGGAGACCUCACCUCUGGACACGCUGUGA